GGCGGGCGCGCUACCAUGCAGUCGAACGGUAGCACAGAGAGCUUGCUCUCGGGUGACGAGUGGCGGACGGGUGAGUAAUGUCUGGGAAACUGCCUGAUGGAGGGGGAUAACUACUGGAAACGGUAGCUAAUACCGCAUAACGUCGCAAGACCAAAGAGGGGGACCUUCGGGCCUCUUGCCAUCAGAUGUGCCCAGAUGGGAUUAGCUAGUAGGUGGGGUAACGGCUCACCUAGGCGACGAUCCCUAGCUGGUCUGAGAGGAUGACCAGCCACACUGGAACUGAGACACGGUCCAGACUCCUACGGGAGGCAGCAGUGGGGAAUAUUGCACAAUGGGCGCAAGCCUGAUGCAGCCAUGCCGCGUGUAUGAAGAAGGCCUUCGGGUUGUAAAGUACUUUCAGCGGGGAGGAAGGUGUUGUGGUUAAUAACCGCAGCAAUUGACGUUACCCGCAGAAGAAGCACCGGCUAACUCCGUGCCAGCAGCCGCGGUAAUACGGAGGGUGCAAGCGUUAAUCGGAAUUACUGGGCGUAAAGCGCACGCAGGCGGUCUGUCAAGUCGGAUGUGAAAUCCCCGGGCUCAACCUGGGAACUGCAUUCGAAA
rnacentral:rRNA from 1 species